rnacentral:rRNA from 1 species
GACGAACGCUGGCGGCGUGCCUAAUACAUGCAAGUCGAGCGGACCAAAGAGAGCUUGCUCUUUGAGGUUAGCGGCGGACGGGUGAGUAACACGUGGGCAACCUGCCUGUAAGCUUGGGAUAACUCCGGGAAACCGGUGCUAAUACCGAAUACAACAGGGGACCGCAUGGUCCCUUGUACAAAGACCUUGUGUCACUUACAGAUGGGCCCGCGGCGCAUUAGCUUGUUGGUGGGGUAACGGCCUACCAAGGCGACGAUGCGUAGCCGACCUGAGAGGGGGAUCGGCCACACUGGACUGAGACACGGCCCAGACUCCUACGGGAGGCAGCAGUGGGGAAUCUUGCGCAAUGGGCGAAAGCCUGAUUCAGCAAUGCCGCGUGCAGGAUGAAGGCCUUCGGGUUGUAAACUGCUUUUGUACGGAACGAAACGGUUCUCUCUAAUACAGGGGGCUAAUGACGGUACCGUAAGAAUAAGCACCGGCUAACUACGUGCCAGCAGCCGCCGUAACAC